rnacentral:lncRNA from 10 species
AGGUUUUCAGUUUCAGUUUCCCAGAAAGGAGGUGGGCUUUUUUUUCACCCUGCUUUAAAAGCCCUUGGGCCCUUCCCAGCUGGGUGCCAGCCAACUGUGGCUGCCUGGGACACUCCAUCUUAAGUCCCUGUGCCUCUGCUGUGUGUUACUGAGUGCCUAGGCCGUGCCAGCCUGUAUUCAUCUGUACUAUGACCUGAAGAGGCAGAGGCCAUCACUGUUGGUCCGGUCUCCACCUGGGGAAACUGAGGUUGCACAGUUGCGUGGUGGAGUGAGGGCAGGGCCUGGGUCUGGGGGCGGGGCCUGGGUCUGACCCCAGGGACUGGUUUUUGUGUUCAGGUGUCUCUGUGGUGACGAGCAGGGCUUCAUCCAGUGCCUCUGUCCCCACCGAGGGGACUAUGGGAGACAUGGAGGGUGUGUGAGCAACAGGUGAGACUGGAGCCAGCUGAAAACUGGGAGACCGACCCAGCCAACAAACAAUGUCGGUCUCUGUCUUGGCACCUGCAGGAAACAAGCUCCUACUUCCAGAAAAAGUGCUCCUGGGACUCCAGGAUACCAGGCAUCUGGACGCGGUGGUACAUGCCUGUAAUCCCAACACUUAGGCAGGAGGAUCACUCGAGCCCAGAAGAUCAAGACUAGUGUGAGCAACA